rnacentral:misc_RNA from 1 species
AACGCACAUUGCGCCCCUUGGUAUUCCAUGGGGCAUGCCUGUUCGAGCGUCAUUUGUAUCUUCAAGCUUUGCUUGGUGUUGGGUGUUUGUCUUGCUCUAUGCGUGGACUCGCCUUAAAUCAAUUGGCAGCCGGUAAUCUGGUGUUAAGAGCGCAGCACAUUGUGCGCUCCUCGCUGUGUAUUUGCGGCGUCCAUUAAGCCUAUAUUUUUUGCUCUUGACCUCGGAUCAGGUAGGGAUACCCGCUGAACUUAA